rnacentral:piRNA from 1 species
UGUUAAUAAAGGCAAGGGAUGGUGGAGU